rnacentral:lncRNA from 1 species
UGUUUGAAUUUUGGGGUUCCAGGCUGGGAUUUUGGGGUUCUGUGGUUGAAUUUUGGGGUUCUCUGUUGGGAUUUUGGGGUUCCAGGUCGGGAUUUUGGGGUUCCAGGUCGGGAUUUUGGGGUUCCAGGCUGGGAUUUUGGGGUUCUGUGUUUGAAUUUUGGGGUUCCAGGCUGGGAUUUUGGGGUUCUGUGGUUGAAUUUUGGGGUUCUCUGUUGGGAUUUUGGGGUUCCAGGUCGGGAUUUUGGGGUUCCAGGCUGGGAUUUUGGGGUUCUGUGUUUGAAUUUUGGGGUUCCAGGCUGGGAUUUUGGGGUUCUGUGUUUGAAUUUUGGGGUUCCAGGCUGGGAUUUUGGGGUUCUGUGUUUGAAUUUUGGGGUUCCAGGCUGGGAUUUUGGGGUUCUGUGUUUGAAUUUUGGGGUUCCAGGCUGGGAUUUUGGGGUUCUGUGGUUGAAUUUUGGGGUUCUCUGUUGGGAUUU